rnacentral:rRNA from 1 species
UACCAGCACCCCGAGUGGUCGGGACGAUUAUUGGGCCUAAAGCAUCCGUAGCCGGUUCUGCAAGUCCCCCGUUAAAUCCAGCUGCUCAACAGAUGGGCCGCGGAGGAUACUACAGAGCUAGGAGGCAGGAGAGGCGAGCGGUACUCAGUGGGUAGGGGUAAAAUCCGUUGAUCCAUUGAAGACCACCAGUGGCGAAGGCGGCUUGCCAGAAUGCGCUCGACGGUGAGGGAUGAAAGCUGGGGGAGCAAACCGG